rfam:Eutrema salsugineum unplaced genomic scaffold scaffold_11, whole genome shotgun sequence.
AAGCCAUGGUGUGGGCACUGAUUAGUAUAGCUUCUAAACCUCUCCCAAGCUUCACCAAAACUUUCAUUGUUGUGCUGCUUGAAGCUUGAAAUUUGGUUUCUGAGCUU